AGAAGAAUCACUUGAAACAGGGAGGCGGAGGUUGCAGUGAGCUGAGAUCGUACCACUGCACUCCAGCCUAUAAAGUCCUAGGAUCAAGGUUAAACAUUGCACUUGACCUCAGUGCCCACUUGGGUCUCUUCCAAGUGUACUUUCCUUUCCUUUGUUUCCUGUUCUAAAGCAUUUAAAUAAACUUACUCCCACUCCGAAACUUGCCUUUGCCUCUUUUUCUGCGUAAUUCCACUCUGUCAAAUUCUUUCUCCUGAAGAGGCAAGAAUUGAGGUUGCACAGACCCAUACAGAUUCACCACCUGGGACCUUCCAUUGGAAACCUUACACAGCAGCUUCUCACUCAGCUGCCAUGCAUUGAAUUCCCUGUUGAUCCAUCCUACUGCGGACCCAAGUAUUCCUGUUGCCAGAUAGAAGGGAUGAGUAAUGGAGACUCCAGACCUCAGAGACCUUGAUCAAGUAAAGCAAAAUUCCCUUCUCUGCUUUCUUUGCAAGUGGCUAAACCCUUAGUCACUCUGGGAAAAAAAGUAAACUGAAAACUUGAAAAAGUCUCGAGACAGAGAACUCCAUUUCUGCCCCAGAUAAAAAGCAAGAUCUUAAGCCAAAUGAAAUGAGCUAAUAAAAAUCAGUCCUAUUCAAGAGCCCAAUUAAUUUAAACAUGAAGAUUGUCAGUUUCCAGCUUCAAUGAUUUUAAUCCAACCCUCACUAAAGAGCCUUCUUUCAGCCUGCUCUGUUUGGAGGUUUUGCUUUCUGGGAGCACCUGAGCAGCCAGUAGGAGGAAGGAGAGCAGGGUGAGGCUAUGGAUCCUCAUGGCUGCAGCUGGGCGGGCACCUGUUUGACAAAAGGCAGAGACAGCAUCUUGCUCUUUUGUUCAGCCUGAUCCUGAACUCCUGGACUCAAGCACUCCUGUGUUGGUUUCCCAAAGUGCUGGGAUUACAGGCCUGAGCCACUGCACCCGGCCCCAUCAGAUCUUGACAGUUCGCCAUAAGGAGUACUCAUUAUUCUCACCUGAAAUCAAAAUGAGGAAACUGACUUCUUUACUGACUACCCUGAAGCUUGUUGAGGUAUUUCAUUUCAACAAGCACUAGUUUGCUAAAGUUGGGCCCAGAUCUCUCACUCUUGUCAAGAAAGUACAGUAUUUUUUUCUUACUCUGAUGGAAAGAGAUGAAAAGUGAUGCCAGAACCCAAAACUAAAUCUGACAGUAACGGAUGCGUUCCUCUAGGAAGAGUCCAGCAGAAAGCUGCACAGGGAAAAUCUUGGUAUCUCUUCAGUUCACUGCCUGACCUGGUUUGGCUUUGAGAAACAGAGAGGACCACAGAAAAGGAGACAAGGAAAGGGAACAGAUACUCCCAGGAAGGUGUGAGACAAAGGGGGCAGGAAAUUCACCUAUAUUUGCUACAAACAGAUGGACCAAAAUGUAGAAUGAGUUUCUCCUUGCAGAACCUGAUGUGAUUCCACUGCAUUGGUGAGAUUCUGCUGAUAAGCUCCAAUCAAGAACAGCUAGGAACUGCUCUUGUGUAGACUCUGCCUUACAGAAAAGCCCAGGAGCGGCUCAUUAGUCCUAAGAUGAUACAGAGACCGGACAUCUAAGUCAAGUCUGUGGAUCUAUGAGGACAGAGGCUCAAAGACCCUCUCCUGAGACAGUAAAGGGAAAUACACCCACUCUAGAGACCUUACUACUUUAAAAGGAAGCCUAGCACUUAGUGGGACUGUUUGGAGCUUGCAGAUGAAACAUGACUCACCCUGGUAUUUUGGUCAGCUCUGUGUACAAACUGACAAAGAAAAUCUGCAAAUCAACCAAAUUUAUUUGGAGGGUGGGGUGGGGCCUUGCGGGGAGUAACUUGGGCAGCAGGUGCAAUGGGAAUAAUUUAAUAGGCAUGUUGGCAUCUCCCUAAUUUGGGUCUGUAAACCCUAUGGCUUUUGGGAACUACAUGUAUAUCUUAAUUUUAUCUAUGCUGUAUGGAGCCUGCAGCAAAGGGAGGCAGCCUCUGCGCAGAUCACACCCCUUGGGGCACUGAUUUCAAGGGUGUGGCUCCCUGCUCUCUUCUGCUUGAGACACAGCUGCUGUCCUACAUCUAGGCCUUAGAGAAAACUCCUAGUUACCAUUGCACCCAGAUAUUCCCAUCCUGCGUUGGUUCCCUCAUGUACUAAAGACAGAAUUGAAAAUGCACAGAUUUCUCAAAUUAAAUGGAAGUGGAACACUUAAUGGGGCAAGUCUGGUCUCAUAGGUAAUUCUCUUUACACAAGUAAGUUGAGACCUCACCUUUAGGGCCUCUUGUCCCUCUCUUGAUUACUCACAAGAUCAGCUUUUGACUCUCUGGAGACCACUCCCAGGAAAUCCAUGAGAAUGCUGGGGCUUAGCUUACUGAAAACUAAAAGUGCUGGUGUCCACCUGGUGGCAGCAGCCAUCUAGCCCCAGAGACAACUCUGGAAGAGCUACUGCAGGAGGAGUCCAUAGCCCAGUGAACCAAAUGGCAAACCAUCAUCUUUGCCUUAAUCAGUGCUCAUAAGAACCAGACAUGCCUUUUUCACCUAUUCUUGGGAACAGUCAGAAAGCUGCCUGGUUGGUGACAACUGACUAGUAUAUUAAAGACACUCCUCUAUGGGGCAACAAGCUAUUGAUAGCCACUACUGUAGCCUCGUGAGACAUUUUUGUUGCCCUUGUGGAUGCCAUUGGAAGGAUACAUAUGAGGUGAGACAACAUGGAACAAAGUAGAUUACUGGGCCCUCUAGCUCUGGUGUCCAGCGUCACUGCUUCAAUGCGUUAUUGGACUGGAGAUGGUAAUCUUGCCACUAACACAAUAGGGUCAAAAGUUAAGCCCUAUCUGAGUGCCACAGAGAGUAAAAUGGCCUGUGGGGACUGUGGUCCCUCUCAGCACCUGAUCUCUCUCUAAAGGUGACAGGGAUCCUUAGCUCUGGGGAUAGAACCUGCCCUUGUCUGGCAAAAACAAUACAUUGGUCUUCUGCUGCCACCUGGUGGCCACCACUGGCAUGCAGCGGUAAUUGACAACUGUUAUCAUGGAGUUGCCAUUCUGUGAAGCUGGCAGAUUCUUGCCACACCACAGCGGCACCGGACACUAUUCUCUGCCUUGGUUGGUAUCCGGUUCACUUGUAGGUAGUUGAUGCCACACUGCUCACAGCAAGGGGGACCCCAGUAGUGGGCUAAUGAACAAAACAUUCAACGCCAUUUCAUGUCCUUGGUCUCAGCUUGGUGGCAUUUUGUGGUGAGAUAGGCUUUGGAAGAUGUGACUGAGAAAAUUGCUAGACAGAUGAUGUUAUCUGCACUGUGGCCUACACUUCUUUAGCAGACAGUGUGAGCAUUACAUGCAGCUGCUCCUCAGAGGAAACAUUCCUUUUGGAGGAGGUGUUUGAGAAAAUCAGGACAGAAGGGGAAGGGAUUCAGGGAGAUCGGUUCUCUAUGUCCGUGAUUUCACCAUAAAAUCUCUCAACAACUGUUUUUUGUUUUUGUUUGUUUGUUUGUUUGUUUAAAUUAACCCUACCACCUGGGAAACCUCACUGGUUUCAUCGUUAGGUGACACCAUCAGUGACAACACAGAGGUGACUCUAAUCUGUUGCUUCUACCGCCACCGUGUUUGGGUUAUUAAAUAUGGAAGAUCAUAUGAUUAACUGCUAGAAUUUGUGAACCCUAAUGAACUUUUUCAGUGGCCCAGUUCUACUACUGUGCCCAGCCCUCAUGAUUGGUGACCCUCAAUGAGGAAGGCCUGGGUGUGGGCAAGUAAUUGAUUAAUAAAGAUGGAUAUAGCAGUUACUGAAUUAGAACAAACAGAUUAUGCCACUGUUGAAGGAAAGGAGCACCCCCAGUACUAGGGAGAAAUCGCCUUUUACAUUUCAGUACAUAAACCAAUUUCAGUUUAUUUUUUGUAUAAAAUAAUAGUAGAUACUCAUAUUUUUCUUAUGGAUAUGCUGUUACUUCAGUACCUUUUGGUGAAAAGACUUCCCUUUUAAAAUUUCUCUUUAAAAUUCAAAUAAAAUACAUAUAUCAUAAAGUAUGCCAUCUUAACCUUUUUUUUUUUUUUUGAGACGGAGUUUCGCUCUUGUUACCCAGGCUGGAGUGCAAUGGCGCGAUCUCGGCUCACCGCAACCUCCGCCUCCUGGGUUCAAGCAAUUCUCCUGCCUCAGCCUCCUGAGUAGCUGGGAUUACAGGCACUCACCACCAUGCGCAGCUAAUUUUUUGUAUCUUUAGUAGAGACGGGGUUUCCCCAUGUUGACCAGGAUGGUCUCGAUCUCUUGACCUCGUGAUCCACCCGCCUCGGCCUCCCAAAGUGCUGGGAUUACAGGCGUGAGCCACCGCGCCCGGCCUGGCUUCCUUCUUGAGUCUGCAACAAGCGGCUCUGCCUUCCCAGAGCUCCAAACACCGGUCAGUAAGGGAACCAGCCCCGUUUACUCUGCAUGAAGAGCUGCCACACCAAGGCACUGGCAAAACCACUGCGCCGGCCACAAGACUUGCCCUAGCGACCCCUGGGGCUUUUCUACUAGAAAUCUGCUGGUUCGUGAGCUACGAAAAUUCAUCUGAAAGUGUGGCGUCCUCUCGUUCUCUGAGCUUUCACUGGGAGCUACAUUCCGAGCUGUUAGUGAUCAGACAUCUUGGAUCGAGAUUGUGCCAUUGCACAAUAACUGUUUUUAAAUGCAUUAGUUUCUUAUAUAAUGGAGCAAACGAAAUGUGGAGUUACAAAUAAAAGCGACAAUAAUACUAGUUUUUAGACUAAUGAUUAUAUUUAAGCAUAUUAGUCUCUGAAAUCAUGUAGAAAAUCGUAAGUGGAAUUAGAAAUGGUCAAUACAGUAAUACUAGCUUUUAUAAUUGCCCAUGUAUUUAUCUUUACUGAAAUACCGGGGCACUGAUAAUGGGUAUUGAAAUUUUCAACUAUUGCUGUAAAAUUUCUUCUUUUAAUUAUGUCAAUUUUUGCUUCAUAUAUUUUGAUGGUCUAUUAUUAGGUGAAAAAAAGUUUAUAAGUAAUAUAUUCUUGCAUUAAUCUUAUUAAUAUAUACUAUUCUUUUUGUCUCUUGUUAACUCUAUUGACUUAAAGUCUGUUUUGUUUGAUAUUAGUAUAGCCUUCUCUACUCUCUUCUGGUUACUAUUUUCAUGAAAUAUCAUUUCCAUCCUUUAACUUUUGACCUGUUUGUGCCUUUGGAUCUAAAAUGAUUCUCUGUAGACAGCACAGUUGGAUCAUGUGUUUUAUUCUGGUAAUCUAUGUGUUUUGAUUGAAGAAUUUGAUACAUUUACAUUUAAAGUAAUUACUAAUGUGUCUCUUUCCUGUGAUACUAAAAAAUAAA